rnacentral:tRNA from 1 species
GGGCCUGUAGCUCAGUUGGUCAGAGCGCCGCGUUUACACCGCGGAGGUCGUCGGUUCGAGACCGGCCGGGCCCACCA